rnacentral:siRNA from 1 species
AAGCGUGCUUGAGCUGGAGUAGUU